rnacentral:rRNA from 1 species
GUGGGGAAUUUUGGACAAUGGGGGCAACCCUGAUCCAGCCAUGCCGCGUGCGGGAAGAAGGCCUUCGGGUUGUAAACCGCUUUUGUCAGGGAAGAAAUCCUUUGGGUUAAUACCUCGGAGGGAUGACGGUACCUGAAGAAUAAGCACCGGCUAACUACGUGCCAGCAGCCGCGGUAAUACGUAGGGUGCGAGCGUUAAUCGGAAUUACUGGGCGUAAAGCGUGCGCAGGCGGUUUUGUAAGAUCGAUGUGAAAUCCCCGGGCUCAACCAGGGAACUGCAUUGGUGACUGCAAGGCUGGAGUGCGGCAGAGGGGGAUGGAAUUCCGCGUGUAGCAGUGAAAUGCGUAGAUAUGCGGAGGAACACCGAUGGCGAAGGCAAUCCCCUGGGCCUGCACUGACGCUCAUGCACGAAAGCGUGGGGAGCAAACAGGAUUAGAAACCCUGGUAGUCC